GUGAAACUAUGUGCCUACACCUUUUAGUAGUGAAGGAAGAUUUUGAGGAGGCUCAAAGGAAGCAUCAUUGUCCUUCUAUUAACUUGGCGACUUGUUAGCUCUCUUUCCUAGCAAGUGUUGAUAUUCAAUCCAAAUAGGACUCCUUGGGCCAGGUGUGGUGGCUCAUGCCUGUAAUACCAGCACUUCGGGAGGCUGAGGUGGGUGGAUUGCCUAAGGUCAGGAGUUCGAGACCAGCCUGGCCAAAGUGGUGAAAACUUCUCUCUACUAAAAAUACAAAAAUUAACCCAAUGUGGUGGUGAGCACCUGUAAUCCCAGCUACUUGGGAAGCUGAGGCAGGAGAAUCGCUUGAACCCAGGAGGUAGAGGCUGCAGUGAGCCGAGAUCACACCAUUUCACUCCAGCCUGCGUGACAGAGUGAGACUCCGUCUCAAAACAAAACAAAACCAAAUAGGACUCCUUAGUUUUUCCAGACAGAGGAUAAUUUUCUCUUAACCCUGCAUUUUGCAAACUACUAAGGAGAGUGCUGCCCCUCAAAUAUCUCUCUCUGCAAAUCCUAGACAAUAGUCUGACAAGGCCUCCUACCCUCACUGCUGCUCUGUCUACCCUCAACUCCUCAACUUACUCCCUUCAAUCUAAGCCUGGAAAUGGCCUGUGAGGUCCGCGGCUUCCUGCUGUUAGAUCUCAGCCAGGGCAGCUGCCAAGCGUCCCAGACGUGGUGUGACCAUGAAGCUUUCUGGGGCUUCUCCUUUCCCCUUCACCAGAACUGCUGCCCUGAGGCCCAUCUUUGCUAUGGACAAAACUGCCCUUUGUCAUUGUCACAAUGGGUGCUCUUUUCCAGAGAUGUAGAGAUGACUCCUCUGCUUUCCUGCACUUAGUGGGAUGACAGAGAACAGAAAAGAAAAAUCCAUCUCAAGGUCACACACUUUAAACUUCUCUGCUCUCUUCUCACAGAUGGAAUGGAGAAUUGAAGUCAGUUUUUUCUUUUCUUCUAUUCUGCACCGUGAAAAUUUAAGGUUGUCAGGAUGCAGCUCUCCUGGUGGAAAUGCUUCUUGUUCUUCCUGGCCUGGAACAAGGGUGAAGAACAGAAACAAUACGGCAAUCACCAAUUUUGACUGGCAACACCACAGAUCAAAUUGCUUCUCUGCUCAAAAGCCUCCACUUUCUUUCUGUCUAUCUUGCAAUAUAAUAUAA
rnacentral:lncRNA from 1 species